GACGAACGCUGGCGGCGUGCUUAACACAUGCAAGUCGAACGGAAAGGCCCUGCUUUUGUGGGGUGCUCAAGUGGCGAACGGGUGAGUAACACGUGAGUAACCUGCCCUUGACUUUGGGAUAACUUCAGGAAACUGGGGCUAAUACCGGAUAGGAGCUCCUGCUGCAUGGUGGGGGUUGGAAAGUUUCGGCGGUUGGGGAUGGACUCGCGGCUUAUCAGCUUGUUGGUGGGGUAGUGGCUUACCAAGGCUUUGACGGGUAGCCGGCCUGAGAGGGUGACCGGCCACAUUGGGACUGAGAUACGGACCAGACUCCUACGGGAGGCAGAAGUGGGGAAUAUUGCACAAUGGGCGGAAGCCUGAUGCAGCAACGCCGCGUGCGGGAUGACGGCCUUCGGGUUGUAAACCGCUUUCGCCUGUGACGAAGCGUGAGUGACGGUAAUGGGUAAAGAAGCACCGGCUAACUACGUG
rnacentral:rRNA from 1 species